rnacentral:rRNA from 1 species
UACAGAGGUCCCAAGCGUUGUUCGGAUUCACUGGGCGUAAAGGGUGCGUAGGUGGUGAGGUAAGUCGGAUGUGAAAUCUCCGAGCUCAACUCGGAAAUUGCAUUGGAAACUACCUUGCUUGAGGGUUGGAGAGGGGACUGGAAUGCUUGGUGUAGCAGUGAAAUGCGUAGAUAUCAAGCGGAACACCAGUGGCGAAGGCGAGUCCCUGGACAACACCUGACACUGAGGCACGAAAGCUAGGGGAGCAAACAGG